GCUGGAGAGAGAAGAUGGACUGCCAAAAUAUCUAGCGAGCCCUGGUCGCCUACGCUUGCUCACCUCCCCCUCUUCUCUUCCCAAGCCGCCUGCUCCUCCGACUAAAUCUAGGAGGGAAGGCUGGAGCUAGCGAGGAAGAUGGCUUGCCGCCGCCACGGCCUCGCUGCGCCCGCCGCUCCAUCGACCGAAUCUGCGACCUCUUCUCUCGCGUCGCGCGCUGCCUGGCUGCCUGCUACUCCUCCUGCCGCAGCCUAACUUGUGGGUGACGGGGAGGAGAAGACGAUGAGCAGCGGCGCAUGGGGGUUCGUGCAGGUCCUCGGCUCGCCCGUGCCUCACCAGUCCGCCGGGCAAGCAAGCCCGCAGGGGAGGCAGUGAGGCCAGAAGCAAGGGCACGGAGGUCGGAGGCAAGUGCUCGGGAGAGGAGAGGAAGGCGACGCUCCAGGCAGCGGCGCUGGGCCAGCAACAUCAGGCAGUGGUUCUGUGGUACAGGUGUGAUCUUCAUGGAGCUAGCCAUCAUUGGAUUUGGUAAUACAUAAUCACUUAUUCAGAGAGCCGGAGGUGAGAAGGGACGAGCAUCUAGAACACCACCACCUACUAAUCAGUGAGCUACUAUCUGUCUUUGAAUGAGUUACUUAACAAGAGAAGGCAGGUAGCAAUAGAACACAUGCAAUCUCAAUGUUUACUAAUUAUCUAUUUCUGAAUUUAUUCGUUCCCAGCUGCUCUGAAUCUGGGUGUUUUGCUUGCUGCUUUGUAGGAGUUUCCUACCUUUCUUCUGCAAAUCUGGAAUGCCUUUAUGGCAUGAUCAUGUGAAAAAAGUACCUUGAUGCAGUAAUGGAUUUGAUUAUCACUGGUUACUCUGUUUUCACGAAUUACUAUCCAACUAUAAGUCUGUUCUAGACCCUAAGGCCCAUGUAAAUGUGAUAUAAGAUUAAGCUAUUUAAUUUUAACUAAAAAGGAUAAUAUUCUUUCAGUCGCUUGAAUCUGUCCAGACCUGAAAAAUACUUAUAGUUUGAAAGCUUGAUAUAUGAGUAUGUAAUUUUACAGGUAUGUAGAUAGUCGCAAUGUUAUUGUUCAAAUGUACUCGAGCCAGGUUUUCGGUGUUUCAUUGCAACCAAAAGAAUUGGUAAUAUUGUUUUGAUGAAAACAUGGUCGCACUUGUCGGUGUUGUAUAAUAGGAUUUUUAAUUAGUGGCAUAGGAAAUUUUUUGUAUCCUAAAGAUUCUUACAGAUUGGAAUAGGAAUUGGUAGCUAACAUCUUGGGAUUUUGUGAUCAUCUACAGUUGAUUGAAAGUCCAUUUUCCCUAAGAUCCACUAUGACAAUGAAAAAGAUUUCUGAAAACUGUGUCAUCAUAAAUGUUCCGUCAUUGUCCAUAGCAAUCCCAUGCCGUAUUAAUUUCAGAAGAAUAAAUUCUUAUUCAGAUAUUCAUUGUGUUUUUAUGUAUUGCUAUAUCUAAAAAAGCAAGUUUCAGCUAAAACCAGAGCCGUGGUUAAGGUACUCUUCGCACCUAGGAUAUGUGUUCAGAUUGCUAACUUUAAACUAUAGUUUUAGAAAAUGUGGUGCCCUCGCUUAUUUUUCUAAUGCAUGAACUUAGGGUAAAUGUUUUAUGUGUAAUGCGUGCUUGAUUUCUUUUUGAUUCUGGUGGAUUUUGAUUUUCUCCACCAUGCUUCUCUCCAACGGGAUGAGUCUGUUUUCACAGCAGCAGGUGAUGCAUGUGCUUAUUGUUGGCUGUUGGGAUGUGGUAUGCAUUUUCUCAUUGUUGGUUGUUUAUUGUUUGCUAUGAUUAAGAUACAUUGGCAUGUACAUUUUAUAUCAUUUUUGUUUUCAACACCACCUAUCACUCUAUAAUUUGCCGUUAAUAGAGUAGUUUCUCCUUUAUUGCAUUGCAUAAUGCUAGCAAGCUACAUUGCACCAUAAACAAAAUAAUCCUCUUCCAAGGUUAAACCUGUUUUUUCCUUCUAGCAAAGAUCAUCUCUGGAAAAGAUCAAUUCCGUUAGCCUAUAAUAUUGCAGUUCUUUCAUAUCCUUCAAAGAUUUAUAAAUAUUUUCUCCUUCCACUCCAUUCAUUCUCAUGGAUUCUGAAAAAAAAAUUGUUUUUUGUUGAUUAAUAAUAUUGCUUUCCCUUUCAGUUUUGUGGUGGUCGAUGCAUGUAGAAUAUACAGACUUUCCUAGAAUGGCGCCUUUUAGUUUUUCUGCUUGAUGUUAGUUCAUUGAUGAGAACACCUAUGUACAUGAUUGCUGCAUGCAUGAUAUCCUACUAUAUACUGAGAAAUAUUUUUGUUUUUCGGACAUUGUUUUCUAAAUCCUAUCAACAUAUUACCUGAUAUGGUCUUUGAAGUUUCUAUUUUUUGCACUGGUCAACUUGAGUAUGGUAUGGUUUAGUCUUAUCUGUUGCAGCUAUUCCAGAGAAAUGUAGAGCUCUGCAACCUUCCGAAGACUUGAUUUACAGUACUCCCGCCGUCCCUUUUUAUAAGAAGUUUAGACAGCUGAUUUUGAACUAUUUUUGGAGCUGUCUGAACUUUCUAAAACGUCUUAUAAAAGUGAACAGAUGGGUAUUGAACCCAUAGAUCCGCUUAUAAACGGACCUUUUAUCAGCAUUGAGAAGGUGGCACAAAAACUCAAACACAGGGUGAUCAGCUAAGAAAAUAAGUUAAGAAGCAUCAAGGAGGACUUUCGGAAAACACAGGGUGACCCAGGUUGUGAGAGCUGAUGACGACUCUAUUAAAAGUCCUUGCUGCCUGCCCCAUUUAUGUCUCUGUAAACAGAAUAACUAAGGUCAUAUGGUUUCCAAUGUGACUAAGAUCUAAAUUCUUGCCGAGUGUAGUUUCUGAACCACAAAGUUACUAUAAAAUGGAAAUAUUUUCAUUGUGGCAUGAUUUUGAA